rnacentral:misc_RNA from 1 species
GAUGAAGAACGUAGCAAAAUGCGAUAAGUAAUGUGAAUUGCAGAAUUCAGUGAAUCAUCGAAUCUUUGAACGCACAUUGCGCCCGCCAGUAUACUGGCGGGCAUGCCUGUUCGAGCGUCAUUUCAACCCUCAAGCACAGCUUGGUGUUGGGACUCGCGUUAAUUCGCGUUCCUCAAAUUGAUUGGCGGUCACGUCGAGCUUCCAUAGCGUAGUAGUAAAACCCUCGUUACUGGUAAUCGUCGCGGCCACGCCGUUAAACCCCAACUUCUGAAUGUUGACCUCGGAUCAGGUAGGAAUACCCGCUGAACUUAAGCAUAUCAAUAAGCGAGGA